rnacentral:tRNA from 2 species
UCUGAUUUAACAUAUAUAAAUGUGUGAGAUUGUAAAUCUUUAAAAAGCUGUUUAGCUA